GGAAUAUGCAACUCUUUUUAGUGGAACAACAGAGAAGUCAAGGUCUAGAAGCUCAUGCUGCUGCUUUUGCACAAUUUAAAGUUCCAGGGAAUGAGAAUCCUUCUACUCUCAUUUCCUUUGCAACAAAGACUUUUAAUGCUGGCCAAAUUACAUCAAAGUUGCAUGUUAUAGAGCUUGGUGCCCAACCAGGAAAACCUUCUUUUACAAAGAAACAAGCAGAUCUUUUCUUUCCUCCAGAUUUUGUAGAUGAUUUCCCCGUUGCA